UUGGAGGGCAAGUCUGGUGCCAGCAGCCGCGGUAAUUCCAGCUCCAAUAGCGCAUAUUAAAGUUGUUGCAGUUAAAAAGCUCGUAGUUGAAUUUCGGGAUCAGUACGCUGGUCGUGCCUUUGGUAUGCACUGGUGUCACUGGUUUCUCCCUUCUGAAGAUCCGUGAUGUCAUUAAUUUGGUGUCGCGGGGAAUCAGGACUGUUACUUUGAAAAAAUUAGAGUGUUUAAAGCAGGCUCACGCUUGAAUACAUUAGCAUGGAAUAAUGAAAUAGGACGUUUAAUCCUAUUUUGUUGGUUUCUAGGAUUGACGUAAUGGUUAAUAGGGAUAGUUGGGGGCAUUAGUAUUCAAUUGUCAGAGGUGAAAUUCUUGGAUUUAUUGAAGACUAACUACUGCGAAAGCAUUUGCCAAGGAUGUUUUCAUUAAUCAAGAACGAAAGUUAGGGGAUCGAAGACGAUCAGAUACCGUCGUAGUCUUAACCAUAAACUAUGCCGACUAGGGAUCGGAUGAUGUUAAUUUUAUAAUGACUCAUUCGGCGCCUUACGGGAAAC
rnacentral:rRNA from 1 species